UACGUAGGUGACAAGCGUUGUCCGGAUUUACUGGGCGUAAAGAGCGCGCAGGCGGUCGAUCAAGUCGAGUGUGAAAGCCCCCGGCUCAACUGGGGAGGGUCAUUCGAUACUGAUCGACUCGAAGGCAGGAGAGGGUAGUGGAAUUCCCGGUGUAGUGGUGAAAUGCGUAGAUAUCGGGAGGAACACCAGUGGCGAAGGCGACUACCUGGCCUAUUCUUGACGCUGAGGCGCGAAAGCUAGGGGAGCAAACGGG
rnacentral:rRNA from 1 species